GCUGGUUCUUCCAGGAGCGCGCAUGAGCGGACGCUGCCUACUGGUGGCCGGGCGGGAUGUAACCGGCUGCUGAGCUGGCAGUUCUGUGUCGCUAGGCUUCUGCCCGGCCGCCGCCGCACAUAAGCCACGAGGAGGAGCUUUACGACUUCCCGGUCUUCGGCGCCGGGCGCAGCAAGGGCCAGACUCUGCGCUAGCAGGCGCUGCGCGCCAACCGGCCGGCACCUGUCGCAGAAGGUGCAACCGAUCGCACUGUCGCGCAGAAGCUCCUCAAUGGCCAGCGCCAGCUGCAGCCCCGGCCGCCCACUCGCCUCAUCUGAGCCUGGGCAAAUCUGGAUUGGGAAAGUUGACAUUAAUCAACUCAUUAUUCCUCACAGAUUUGUAUUCUCCAGAGUAUCCAGGUCCUUCUCAGAGAAUUAAAAAGCCUGUACAGGUCUAGAUAUUGGUAUUUUUAAUUGAUGAUAAGCUGGAAUAAUAUUAAUACACACAAAGCACGUGUUGUAACUUUCAUUAUGCUUCCUUAGAGCUCUGUUCACGGAAAGGGCCUGGGAGCUGCAACACCUCAACAGCAACAAGCACACCUGCUACCUAGAACUUGGUUUCUAAAAACCAUCCUCCUCUAAAAGGAAACAGAGCUCUUUGAAGAAACGGGUCUCCCUAUGUUGCCCAGGCUGGCCUCAAACUCCUGGGCUCAAGUUAUCCUCCUGCCUCGGCCUCCCAAAAUGCUGGGAUUGCAGGCAUGAGUGACCGCACCUGGCCACCUUUCCACAUUUAAGAGAUCCCUGGGAUACUGCGAAGCAGGAGUCCAUCUCCAGACAUGAGGAGCAGGUGGGCUAAAGGAAACAGGACUGGGGAGUCUUGGAGGGGCAGAGCAAUGCCCAGGGACACAGAAACUUUUGAAUAAAGACAAGAGAGACCGA
rnacentral:lncRNA from 1 species